GAUUGCUUGAAGAGAGAAAAAUGACACAGGACGGAUAACCACCAACUUAAUGCAAAAUGUGUGUGUCAGAGGCCCUCCUUGUUGGCAUUUAUGGAGACUCUUGUCUCCUGCAAACAGAAUCACAGAGCUAAAGGUCAGGUGUAAGACUUAGUUGAGAAUGACACUUCAAUAAAGCCUGGUGGUAAUGUUUAUUGAGCAUUUACCAUGUUCUAAACAUCAUGCUAAGCACUUUAUGUAGAUCAUCUCACUUAAUCCUCACUGCAUUAUGAGCUGGUUUCAAGUAUUAGCACCCUCAUCUUACAGUUGGGAAAAACUGAGGUUCAGAUUAGUUCAUUCAUUUGCUCAAAGUCACAUAGCCCAUAUGUGGCAGAACCAGCAUCUGAACUCAGAUCACUGCCUCCAAAAGCUGAGCUCUUAAAACUAUGUCUUAUAUUAUUAAACAUCAAACAUUAUAAAGCGGUGAAACUCUGUUCUUGUCAUCUGUGUGAAAAACAGUUUUGAUCCAAGAUGUGAUAAAAUCAUUCAAUUAGAGAAUCUUUGAAUUGUAAUGGGUCCUGUGGGAUUAUCAAACCCAACCUCCCACUCAAUGGAGGAAUCCCCUUUCAGUCUAUAGGCCGGUGCAUGUAACAAGUGCUUAAUUGUGUUGAACUGGAGAAGACAUUCUGGCAGCUGAUUAUCCAGUUUCUGCAUGAACCUCUCCCAGUGAUGAGGAGUUCAUUGCCUCCCAACGCAGCCUCUUCCAUGUUAAAAAGCUCUGCUUGCCAGAAUCUUCUUUCUCUGCUGAAAACGACAUUGAUCUGUAGUUUUCCAUCUUUCUCUCAUUGCUCCUCGUUGCAGGAAAAAAGUUGACAGUUUUACGAUUUGAACAUUUGACUGAAAAGUUUUUUGCUGCCAUUCAGUCACCACAUCCAUCGUUGCCUGCCCUUCCCAACCUCCAAAAGGAAAGGGAAACAAAACAUUACGGUUGUAUUUUGUUUCCUCAAGUUUGGUUAAGUUAGAGCAAGAUUUGUUCGCUCAAGACGCUUCUUCCUUAUCCUUUUUAACAUUAAAAUGUUGGAAAGGAAUAAAAGCAAAAAAGGAACAGAACAGUAGAGUCUACUUUCCAAUUACAUCAAUAAAUGGGUGCACGGAGCAUGUUGAAUUCGAUAGAAAUGUUUGCUACGCUACUGGGGCAGGGAGGAAGCCUGUGGUUAAAUCUAUCAAAAGUUUUUGUUGUUUUUACAAAAGUACCGGAGCCAUCUGUGUGCGACCCAGCCAUUAGCUUGGGGUCCUCUCCCUGCAGAAGGAACAAUUAGAAACACCAUGUGCUGGUUCUCAAAACUUGUGCCCUGCACCUCCACCCAGAAGGCUAGAUUUUCCAUUAGUCCCUUAUUUCUAUCUUAUUGGUAAGGAGCUGCUUCUAAACCUUUCUCUUUUCUCCUGACUGAAGGAGGAGGUUAAAUACCCCUUAGAUUUAGGAAGGCCCAGGGAACCACCGAGACGGCGAGACCUCCUGGAUUCCUAGAGAACACUGAGGGGGGGGGAGGGGCUGUGACGCACUUCCGGUAGGUUUUCCCGGACUUGUGUUUGUCUUGAACGUCUGAUUUUCGGCUCGUUGUCUCUCUGCCCGGGCGACCCAGGCCUUCUGAGUUCCCGUCUGCGGGUGGCGGUGGGGACACGAGAUACAUGGUCACUGUCCCUAGCAUCUGGCCCCGGUAGGGUGUAGAGAGAAGCCCCGCACCCUUGGUUCCGUCUGCCCCUGCCCAAACCACCUUUGUGCUUUGACUUAACCUAAAUGAUGGGGUCGAUUAAGAAAGACUGGAGACAAAACAAGGCGCUAGCAUCUUUCUGCCCUUGUACAGAAUCAUAGGAAAACCUUACCAGAAAGUGCAGCUCCGGUGGUUUGGAUCCAGGAAGAAAGAACAACCUAGAGAUGUUCCAGAAAAAAAGAAGCUACAAAAAUUAGGGUGGUCGCAGAUUUGAACCUGUCAAAUCACUGAUAGCAGAACUAAGAGAAGCUCGUUAAAAUCAGCAUGAGAUAAGCAUCCAACAUGCCUAGCCAGAGGCAGAAAAUAGAGCCAAAACUGGACAGGUGGACUCUCAGAGUUCACCCUAACAUCAGAGUUAUCGCUGAGAUAACCCUACUAAUUUCAAAGGUCGUGAACCUUCAUAUCAAGGCAAUCUUGUCUUGAUCUCGACAUCUCUGACCCUUGCUCAGUAUUGUUUUCAUUGGCUGCAAUAUAAAGAUGAUUAGCCCUGAACUAACAACUGCCACCAAUCCUCCUCUUUUUCCUGAGGAAGACUGGCCCUGAGCUAACAUCCAUGCCCAUCUUCCUCCACCUUAUAUGAGGGACACCUGCCACAGCAUGGCUUGACAAGUGGUGUGCAUGUCCGCACCUGGGAUCCAAACCGGCGAACCACAGGCCACCGAAGCAGAACAUGCAAACUUAACUGCUGUGCAACCAGGCCAGCCCCCAACCUUUCCACUGAUAGCCCAAGGCUUACCUGCUAGGAACGCCAGUGAAAAGACAGCACCACUUUCCAGUGACUCAGCAAAAAUUCUGGGCUGACAUCCUUCGGAAUAACAUGAGUCACAUGGUCACCAUUGAACUCAUUACUAUGGCCAGCACAAUGGAAUAUUCUAGCCUGAGUAACUGACCCACCGCUAGAGUCUGGAUGGGAGGAUGGUGAGCCUCUGUGGACUCUAUGGACUGAAAAUUGGGUAGAGGUGUUUCUUUACACAGAAAAUGUUAAUACAGGAAACAGAUGCUGGCAGGUAAAAACAACCCGUCUUCACUAGAGAACUAAUAUUAAUAAGUUAAGGAAACUGAGAUGUUUCAGACUGGACUUUGAGCUGAAUGCAGUAUCUGGAUUGGACUUUGCGUUCUUUCUCUUGGGGAAGAAGUAACUCUAUUCCAUGUGUGGGACAGAGGGAAGAACUGUGGUAGAGAAUGCUAGAUUUCUACAACCCAUUCUCCCUUCUUUCAUAUAUCCAGCUUUCCUACAUCCCCGAGCCUCCCUUGCAAUUAAAUGUGGUCCUAUAAUGAAGUUCUCCUCAAAGGAAUAUAAGCAGAAAGUUUGUAUGCAACUUGUGGCUCUAGCCUGUAAGCCUCCUGUGUACAUCCUUCCACAGCCAGAGUGACCUUCAAAACCAUAUGUUAAAGAUGACAGUGUCAGUCUGAGCCCCUGAAUGACUGUAUUUGAAUAGAACCUACCUUCUUCUUUCAACCUGGAAUGACUGUCCUGAACUAUUUAGAGAACAAAACAAACUUCUAUGUUAUUUGGGCCAUCACAUGUUGGGCCUACUUAUUUUGGCAGUUUGGCCUCCUCUAAGGCAUUUGGUACAGGGAAGUUCUUCCUAUUAUGACACAAAACCUGGAAGUCAUAAAGGACAAGACUGACAGAUUUCACUACACUACAAAAAUGUAAAACUUCUGUAU
ensembl:lncRNA